AUGAACGCGGCCAUCAGUGCGGCAGUGUGGGUGGUAGGCAAGGCGCUGGCCCCAGUUUCGGAUGGAUUGCUGGAGAGCUGGGCGUCCAGUGACAGUCUCGGCCCCAACAUCAGCGCCCUCAAGAGGCAGCUGCUGCGCGCGCAGGGGAUACUCUACACCGCGCACGACAGAGAGUACACCACCAACCCUGCCCUCAAGGAGCUGCUGCACAUGUUGCGGCAGCUGGCGGACGGGGCCGACGACGUGCUUGAUGAGCUGGACUACUUCCGCAUCCAGGACAAGCUCGACAAUACCUACGAUGCCGCCGAUAGCCAUCCCAAGGGUUGCAUCCACAACCUUGGUCUCAAUGUGCGGCACACUGCUAGAGCCAUUGCUAAUAAAUUCAAGCUCUGCUCUAAGGCACCACCAGAAGAUGGCACUAUGCAAACAUACAAAUUGAAGUUUAACCGUGUGGAAAUUUCUAAACGGAUGGCACACAUUGUACAACAGCUGGAUCCCAUAUGUGCCAAGGUGAAGGAAAUCCUUGAUCUAGAGCUCCGCAAAUCUACCAAAGUUAGCAUUAUUGGAAACAGACCCAAAACCACCCCAGCAAUAAUAGAGCCAGAGUUAUUUGGGAGGGACGCAGAGAAAAAGGACAUUGUAGAUGGCAUUACCGUUGGAAAAUAUUGUGCCGAUGGACUCACAGUUCUCCAAAUUGUUGGCCCAGGGGGUAUUGGGAAGACGACUUUCACACAACAUGUCUAUCAAGAAGUGAAGAGCUCUUUUGAUGUUAUGAUUUGGGUCUGCAUAUCUCUGAAUUUUGAUGCAAAUAGGUUGGCACGAGAGAUUGUGAAAAACAUCCCUAAGGUUAAUGGUGAAACGGAAAAUGCUAUCGAUGAAGAGCUUAUUGAGCAAAGAAUAAAACAUAAGAGGUUCUUGCUGGUCUUGGAUGAUGUCCGGACAUAUCACGACGAUGAGUGGAAAAAACUAUUAGCUCCCUUCAAAAAAGGAGAGGCAAGAGGUAAUAUAAUUAUUGUCACUACUCGAAUUUCAGAAACAACAACAGCGGGAAAAAUAGCUGAUCAUUCUAUAAACCUGGAUCGCUUAGGACCUGAAGAUUUUAUGCAUUUAUUUGAAGCAUAUGUAUUUGGUCACCAACAGUCAUGGAAAGACCAUCCUGAAUUGCUUAAUGUUGGAAGGGAAAUAGUGGUCCAUUUGAAGGGGUUCCCUCUUGCAGCAAAAACUGUAGGUAGAUUACUAAGAAACCAACUUACAUUGGGCCACUGGACAAGAGUUCUGGAAAGCAAAGAAUGGGAGUUACAAAGCAGCGAAUAUGACAUUAUGCCAGCACUGAAGCUUAGCUAUGAUUAUCUGCCUUUCCAUCUACAACAGUGCUUUGUUUCCCGAAGAUUAUGA
rnacentral:rRNA from 1 species